rnacentral:rRNA from 2 species
ARARKKUUUUKKWWUAUGGCUCAGGACGAACGCUGGCGGCGUGCUUAACACAUGCAAGUCGAACGAUGAAGCCCUUCGGGGUGGAUUAGUGGCGAACGGGUGAGUAACACGUGGGCAAUCUGCCCUGCACUCUGGGACAAGCCCUGGAAACGGGGUCUAAUACCGGAUAUCACUCUUGCAGGCAUCUGUGAGGGUCGAAAGCUCCGGCGGUGCAGGAUGAGCCCGCGGCCUAUCAGCUUGUUGGUGAGGUAGUGGCUCACCAAGGCGACGACGGGUAGCCGGCCUGAGAGGGCGACCGGCCACACUGGGACUGAGACACGGCCCAGACUCCUACGGGAGGCAGCAGUGGGGAAUAUUGCACAAUGGGCGAAAGCCUGAUGCAGCGACGCCGCGUGAGGGAUGACGGCCUUCGGGUUGUAAACCUCUUUCAGCAGGGAAGAAGCGAAAGUGACGGUACCUGCAGAAGAAGCGCCGGCUAACUACGUGCCAGCAGCCGCGGUAAUACGUAGGGCGCAAGCGUUGUCCGGAAUUAUUGGGCGUAAAGAGCUCGUAGGCGGCUUGUCACGUCGGGUGUGAAAGCCCGGGGCUUAACCCCGGGUCUGCAUUCGAUACGGGCUAGCUAGAGUGUGGUAGGGGAGAUCGGAAUUCCUGGUGUAGCGGUGAAAUGCGCAGAUAUCAGGAGGAACACCGGUGGCGAAGGCGGAUCUCUGGGCCAUUACUGACGCUGAGGAGCGAAAGCGUGGGGAGCGAACAGGAUUAGAUACCCUGGUAGUCCACGCCGUAAACGGUGGGAACUAGGUGUUGGCGACAUUCCACGUCGUCGGUGCCGCAGCUAACGCAUYMAGUCCCCGCAGGGRGCG